AUUGAACGCUGGCGGCAGGCCUAACACAUGCAAGUCGAACGAGUGGCGGACGGGUGAGUAAUGUCUGGGAAACUACCCGAUGGAGGGGGAUAACUCCUGGAAACAGUAGCUAAUACCGCAUACCAUCGGAUGUGCCCAGAUGGGCUUAGCUAGUAGGUGGGGUAACGGCUCACCUAGGCGACGAUCCCUAGGUGGUCUGAGAGGAUGACCAGCCGCACUGGAACGGAGACACUGUCCAGACUCCUACGGUGGGCAGCAGUGGGGAAGAUUGCACAAAGGGCGCAAGCCUGAUGCAGCCAUGCCGCGGGUAUGAAGAAGGCCUUCGGGUUGUAAAGUACUUUCAGCGAGUAGGCGUUACUCGCAGAAGAAGCACCGGCUAACUCCGUGCCAGCAGCCGCGGUAAUUC
rnacentral:rRNA from 1 species